GGCUUAGGGGUUAUGUUUAAGGUUAAGGUUACAAUUAGGGUUAGGGUAACAAUUAGGGUUAGGGGUUAGGUUUAGGGUUAGGAGUUAGGUUUAGGUUAGGUUUAGGGUUAGGGGUUUGGGGUUAAGGUUAGGGUUAAGGUAAGGGUUAGGUUCAGGGUUCGGUUUAUGGUUAUGGUUAGGUUUAGGGUUAGGGGUUUGGGGUUAAGGUUAAGGUAAGGGUUAGGUUCUGGGUUCGGUUUAUGGUUAUGGUUAGGUUUAGUGUUAGGGGUUUGGGGUUAAGGUUAGGGUUAAGGUAAGGGUUAGGUUCAGGGUUCAGUUUAUGGUUAUGGUUAUGGUUAUGGUUAGGUUUAGGGGUUUGAAUGGAAUAAAUAGUUUGGUCGCCACGAAGCAUCGUGCUGGUCCUCAAUUGUAAAAAGGCUAUUAUAGGCUUAGUGGUUAGGUUUAGGGCUAGGUUUAGGUUCAGGGUUAGUGUUAUGGGUUAAGGUUAGGGUUAAGGUUAGGGUAAGGGUUAUGUUUAGUAUUAGAUUUAGCGUUAGGGAAAGUAGGAUUUUGAAUGGGAAUCAAUUGUUGGUCACCAAAAAGUCCUCACAAGUAUAGUAAGACAUAGCUGUGUGUGUGUGUGUGUGAGUGUGUGUGUGUGUGUGUUUGUAUGUGUGUGUGGGGGGGUCUAUAUGUUUGCUGUGUUUGAUACCGUUCCAUUUAUUCAAUUCCAGCCAUUACAAUGAGUCCGUCCUCCUAUAGCUUAUCCCACUAGCCUCCUCUGGUGCGUUUCUAUUGUGCCUGUAGGGUUGAUUUUGACACACUACCAAACCAUGGUGUUUGGCAGAUGAUAAUCUGCUCACUCUGCAGAUUGCAACUCAGAUGAUCUGUUUCACAAUAAACAUAGGGAUGGUGUGAUACUUGUGUGUGUUGCAUAGUGCGACAACGACACAGACACACGCACACACAUAUGCCGUCUCUCACUAGACUAAGGGGGAUAGGAACGUGUGAUGAGCUUUCAGUGGGAGGCAGAGAAGAACAAGAUAACU
rnacentral:lncRNA from 1 species